rnacentral:rRNA from 1 species
AACGAACGCUGGCGGCAUGCCUAACACAUGCAAGUCGAACGAGACCUUCGGGUCUAGUGGCGCACGGGUGCGUAACGCGUGGGAACCUGCCUUUAGGUUCGGAAUAACUCAGAGAAAUUUGAGCUAAUACCGGAUGAUGUCUUCGGACCAAAGAUUUAUCGCCUUUAGAUGGGCCCGCGUUGGAUUAGCUAGUUGGUGGGGUAAAGGCCUACCAAGGCGACGAUCCAUAGCUGGUCUGAGAGGAUGAUCAGCCACACUGGGACUGAGACACGGCUCAGACUCCUACGGGAGGCAGCAGUGGGGAAUAUUGGACAAUGGGCGAAAGCCUGAUCCAGCAAUGCCGCGUGAGUGAUGAAGGCCUUAGGGUUGUAAAGCUCUUUUACCCGAGAUGAUAAUGACAGUAUCGGGAGAAUAAGCUCCGGCUAACUCCGU